UUACAAUGCAGUUGGCCAAUUAAUUUUUAAUAUAACAGAAAAUUUAAAUGAGAUUGACUAAAUUUGGGGUUAUAUUUUAAAUAACCCCAAAUCCGAAUUCUAUCCAACAACCCAACCCCUUCUAAUUCUGUAUACACCAUCCCAAAACUAAAAACGAAAAAAAUAACCAAACCCACCUUUGCUCUUUCUUCUACAUUACAGCUCUAAACAAUGGCAAAAAAACUCAAUCUAGCGUACAAUACACAUAAACAACAUGUACACCAGUCAGCAAUAGUAUCAACACCAACAACAAUCACAUGUCAGCCAAUGGCAACCCGACACCAACUCCAGUCGUGUAAAAACUCAUCAAACCAGUCAACCGAUGUCAAUCUGACCUGAUAUCAACCCUAAUGGUUAACAAUUGCAAACCAACCCCAUACCCGUGCAGCAACCCGUUAGAUUCCAACAAACAGACGCAACAACAACGAUUCCAAUCCGUACUAAAUAGUACGAUUUUCAGCUCAACAAAUCCUAUCCCCAAGUUCAAAUUCAAAUGUCCCUAUUCAAAAUCGCAAAACGCCCCUCAAAUAUUCCCAUCCCACAUCGCUCAAAUUGGUGAAAUCCCAUUCUGAAAAUACCUAUAAAUACUCAUUCAAUGCAUUAUUUAAGAGGUUGGAGAUGCCGGAUAGCAGGGACCUAAAAAGCGUGAGAUUUUGCUAUUCGAAGAAGGGUUUCGGUGCCAAAAAAUUCGAUAAGACUCGUUUGAGCUUGAAUUUCUAGGAUAAGAAUUCAAGUUCAUUCCGAUGGUGGCAAGAAUCUUUCGGUGAAGCUCGCUAAUUUCCCUUAUAUUCCUCGGGCUAAGGAAGCCUAAUUUCCGAGUCAACAUAAAGUAUCAAAAAUGGACAAAAACUCAAGAGAAUCAAGUGUGUAUACAAAGAUAUACAAUAUAUAUACACUAUAUUCAGGUCUUGGAAGCUGAUAUACAGAUACAAGGGAGCAAUAAUCGAGCUAAGGAAGCUGGUAUGUAAAGGCCCAAGCUGAUAUACAGUGUGUAUACAGCCAAAACUUAGAAGAAAAGGCUGUAGUAUACAUCUGAUAUACAUUGCUGGAAAAUGAAUUAAAAGCCCAAGUUCAAAUUUGAACAGCUCUCAAAAAAUGGGCUAGAUAAGAGGCCCAAACUUCUUUUCUUUAUUUAUUUUGUAUAAUUCAUAUUUGACUAUUUGUUGUAUUAAAUUUUUUAAACUUCGUUAACCUUAGUAAACUCCCCA